UGUGGUUAACAUAAAAUAGAUUGUCAAAAAGUCGUCAGUUUACCUGUUACAAGGUGCAAAGUUAAUUUACGCGCAAAGAAAUAAAGCUAUUUAAACUAAUGUUUAAAUGAAAUUUAUACAUUUAUGCAGUCAAUAAUUAAAUAAUUUGUGUCUGAUUGAGAAAACUCCAUAUUUUUCAUUGACACUCAAAUUAGAUGCACUGUUAAUAACAUAUCAGCAAAUGUUAAAGUCUUCUGGCGCCUAACAGAAGCGAAAACAUAACGAAAAAAAAAAUACAAAGAUUUUAAUAUAUCAUCCGAAGUACUUGACAGACAAUCCGUAAGCAAUGUCAAGCUUACAACGUACAGUGCUUAAGUCGAAAUUGCCACCCACCAUUCCGGGUGGCCGGAUUGGCCGAGCAGAUUCAUUUAAAAAAUCACGAAUCAGGGACUACCGGCCAUGUAUGUGGAACGAGUUCUUCGCCGAGAAGGAAGACGUCGUCGUGGACGAGCACCGAAUGUUUCGAGUCUACCGCACUAAAAAACCCGAGAAACCAGGCCCCAUAUUGUUGUUAUUGCACGGAGGGGGCUAUUCGGCGCUUACUUGGGCGCACUUUUGUUCGGAAGUGACAAGCAUGAUACACUGUCAGUGUCUGUGCGUCGACCUUCGAGGACACGGCGACAGCAAAGUGGAUGACGAGGACGACUUGUCGGCAGACACGUUAUCACAGGACAUUGGUGAUUUAAUCACAAAACUCUAUCCCGAGGAGGUACCACAAAUCUAUGUGGUUGGUCACUCGAUGGGCGGAGCCAUUGCUGUGCAUUUUGCUCAUAUGGCAUUGGUGCCGACUCUGAUUGGCAUCACCGUAAUCGAUGUCGUUGAGGGCACAGCUAUGGAAGCUUUAGCUAGCAUGCAAAGCUUUCUGCGCUCGCGUCCCAAGUAUUUUCAGAGUAUACCGAAUGCCAUUGAAUGGUGCAUUCGGAGCGGACAGGUGAGGAAUGUGGACAGUGCCAAAGUCUCAAUGCCUGGACAGAUAAUUAACUGCACAACGAAUAAAUUGGCAACGAAUGAUCUUCCCCUGCCAGAGGAGGUGCUAGAGGAAGCGCAUCACACGAGCAUGUUUCCCAAUGCAUUUAGCAUUUCUGAAGAUGAAGAGGUAGGCAAUACCGGGGAAGAAGGAGCUGAAAGCGUUGACUUCAAGAAGCCCAUGACAACUAAAGCAGCAACAGAUGCGGCCAAGAACUACACCUGGCGUAUUGAUCUGGCUAAAUCGGAAAAGUAUUGGGUCGGCUGGUUUUCGGGUCUCAGCGACAAGUUCCUCAAUUUACGAAUACCUAAACAAUUGCUCCUGGCCAGCAUUGAUGGCCUUGAUCGCACACUUACCGUUGGCCAAAUGCAGGGACGCUUCCAAAUGCAAGUGUUGGCACGCUGUGGUCACGCCGUACACGAGGAUCGUCCACACGAGGUUGCUGAGGUCAUCAGUGGCUAUUUGAUACGCAAUCGCUUUGCUGAGGCCGCCGGCGAGUUUCGAUGCCACAUGCCCUCCUGUUAAUCCUCAAUCUUGUACAAUUGUAGCACAAAAUGUCUAUUUUUAAAUGGAGCAUUACAGACGUGUAUACAUAUAUAUAUAAACUUACGCACGGAAGCAUAAGGAAUAGGAACAAGAAAUACUCUAGCCGUAUUAUCUAUAUAUAUUACCAUAUACUCCAAUAAUUUAUUCGAUUACUUACAACAGAUUCAUACGUAUUUUCAAUCGUUAUAGUAUUCGCUCAGUUAGCCAAACGCCCGAUUACAAAAACUAGUAAUUUCAUUGAGUUGCGCUUCUUAAAUUCUUAAGCUGUGAGUUUUUGUCUGUAUUGAAAAUGUGCCACGAUUCAAUUUGAACUUAUACAAAACGACUAUAUUAUAUCAAGUAAAUAAUUUUAAUAAAAUUAUAAAAUUACUACUAUA